GAGAAUCAAUCUGGUCUAAAUAAAUCAUUAGAGUUAAAGAUUUAUAAUGUUUAGAGAGAAAAAAGUGUUCACCGAGAAGAUCUGUGUGUUUAUCGACAAUGUCGGUGAACGCUUGGAGAUCUCGUAUACGAAAGUGCUGAGAAUCAAUCUGGUAGUCCACUUCAUGAACAGGAGUGAAGGUUGUCUUGUUGUUGAAGCUGAUCCCGUGCUUAUGUGGUGAGACUCUGUAAACUGAUUUGGAAAGUCUGAUGCUGAACCCGUUGAGCUUGUAAAUUGUGUUGGGUUUCAGGUCCUCUUUGAAGCGGGGAAGGAAGUGUGUGGAGAUAAACCCCUGAAUGGUUGUUGACUGUGGUGGUUUCAUUACGCAAGAGUUAGUAAUGAAUGUUAACAAUAAAAGUAUGGUAGUUUAAGUUUAGAGAAUACCUUUGAGUCUAUGAGGAGCAACUCAACUCCCAUGAGUAUGUUCGCCUUUUUGAAGUUUCGGGCUUCCCAGCAAUGAAUCAGCCUGACAAAAACUUCCUUGUUACAGAAAUCUCCUUCGAGGUCGUCAAACGUUGUUGGGACAGCGAGGGUUGUGGGAGGAGCCAUUGUCUUUUCUUUGCUGGAUUUCUUUGGAGUCUUCUUUGAUGGGUGUGAGGUUGAUGGUGUUGAUACAAUGGGUUUUAUAGAGACGUGCUUGAUGUAAAUUUAUACAUUUUCCUUUUACUGUUUGAUGUAGUAUUUCCAUUUUUAAAAUUGUAUAUUUGCUCUUUUUUUCUUAUAUUGUAUAUUUCCAUUUAUUAUAUUGUAUAUUACCUUUUAUUUAUUUUUUUCAUUUUAAGAUAGAUGUUUAAUGUAGAAUUUAUAUUUUCUAAAAUGUAUAUUUACUUAUUAUUUUCUCUUAUAUUGUAUAUAUACAUUUCUUAUAUUGGGGGUGAUUGGUAGUUGCUGUAGGUGCUGUCCACAACCCUAUUUAUUUCUACAGCACCAAUUCAGAGCAAUCAAGCUUUAAAUUUUUUUUUGAAACCACAGCUCUUAAAAUAACCUACAGCUGUACAAAUGCUCUGCAGAGCCAAAUAUCCAAAGCAAUUUUUUUAGUGCUUCAAUAAAAUUCUACAACAAUAAAAUCUAAAGCCACAUCAAAAAGUUUACAGAUUUUUUUCUACAACAAAAUAUUUAAAGCUACGGCCAUUACCAAUCGGACCCAUUGUAUAUUACUUAUUGUUGUUUUUUUAUAUUAUUGUAUAUAUACAUUUCUUAUAUUGUAUAUUACUUAUUGUCGUUUUUUUACAUUUUAAGAUAAUUGUUUAAUGUAGUAUUUCCAUUUUAUAAAUUGAAUAUUUACUAAUUAUUUAUUUUAACUUAUAUUACAUAUAUAAAUUUCUUAUAUUGUAUAUUACUCAUUAUCGUUUGGGCAAAUCUCCAAAAUAGAACAUUUCUAAGUUUAUAUCACAGAAAAUAGCACUCAAAAACUAAAAUCAAAAAAAUCUCAAAAUUUGAAAUCUUAUCUCCAAAAAACCUUAAAACCUAAACUCUAAACCCUAAACUCUAAAUUCUAAACCCUAAACCCCACCCCUUAAGUGCUAUUUUUGCGACUUUUGACCUUGAGUGCUAGUUUCGGAACAAAAACUUGAUUUAGUGCUAUUUUGGUCUUUUUCUCUUAUCGUUUUUUACAUUUUAAGAUAAAUGUUUGAUGUUUAUGUGUAAAAUAAAUUAUUUCAAAUAUUAUGUUUGAUAUUUAAAAUACAUAUAUAUAAUAUUUAUCAUAUGAUGGUGGUAUGAGAGAAAGGUUUUGUAUUUUAGGUUGAAAGAAACUAUUGGAAGGAGAUGCAAGAAAUUAGCAUAACGAGACUUUUCGUUGAUAUAUGAAUAUGCUUUUAGAAAAUUUUUAUCAAUAUAUAGAUGUUUAAAUCUUAAUAUAUUUUUUUCAUUGUUUUUAAGUUGUGUAUUUCUUUUUCUUAUACUUUCUAUUUACUUAAUAUCUAUAUUUUACAUUUUAAGAUAGAUGUUUAAUAUUUAAUGUACUCUUUCCAUUUUAUUAAAGCUUCAUCAAACUACUUCAAGUUGCACAUGCAAGAAGACCAUAUCCUUUGAUCUUUCACCAGCAGGUGCUGGGGCAGUAGCCAUGGGUGUCUGAGUGUCUAAGUUGUCCCCAUUGAUGACUCGCAAAAAGCCAAUGAUAUCUGUCAGGGAGUUAAAAAUGUUAAAGUGCUGAGAAUCAAUCUGGUCUAAAUAAAUCAUUAGAGUUAAAGAUUUAUAAUGUUUAGAGAGAAAAAAGUGUUCACCGAGAAGAUCUGUGUGUUUAUCGACAAUGUCGGUGAACGCUUGGAGAUCUCGUAUACGAAAGUGCUGAGAAUCAAUCUGGUAGUCCACUUCAUGAACAGGAGUGAAGGUUGUCUUGUUGUUGAAGCUGAUCCCGUGCUUAUGUGGUGAGACUCUGUAAACUGAUUUGGAAAGUCUGAUGCUGAACCCGUUGAGCUUGUAAAUUGUGUUGGGUUUCAGGUCCUCUUUGAAGCGGGGAAGGAAGUGUGUGGAGAUAAACCCGUGAAUGGUUGUUGACUGUGGUGGUUUCAUUACGCAAGAGUUAGUAAUGAAUGUUAACAAUAAAAGUAUGGUAG
rnacentral:lncRNA from 1 species